AGGGUGGUCGAAAACGACUGUCUUUUAAUAAAUAUCUAUGUACCGAGCUUACUAAAAAUAGAUGCUAUUUUUAAAUUAAAAACACGAUGCAUUUCUCGUUCUAACGCUUGCCAAAGACACGAAGAAAGCGGAAAUUUUGCACGAUAUUAUAUUCUAAAUAUUUAUACAGUAGUACACAAAUGAAACAAACACAUUCGAAGUUAGAAAAAAAAAAGAAGUAAUGGAAAAUACUUACUAUAAGAAAUAUAAAAGAAAAAACUAUCUUUGAUAAUUAUCUAGUACCAAAAAUUAUUUUAGAUUCUCGUAAUGGAAACAUUAAAAGCUGAAAUUCCUAAUACCGUACAGUAAAAUUUAUAAAUGAGAUAAAAUAUAUUGAUAAAUCUAGGUGAGUACUUCAAAUGUAACAAGCCAAUAUUAAAGAAUCACACUACCAUCAAAGUGGCAUAACUUCAUGAGAAAUGGUAAUUAAUGAAAUAUAUAUAAGUAUUAAUCACGAAAUUUAUUUAAAACAUACAGUAAAAUAUAAAUUAGCUUUGGUUUUAAAUUUUUUUCCCUAUUAUAAAUACACUCCUAUAAUUCAAUAUAAAUUUAUAAAAAAAUGUAAUAUCACUUUAAAUUGCUUAAUUGUAAUUUAUCGGGAAUGAAUUUAGUACGAAAAAUAAAUGUUACAAUUAAUAAUCUAUAAUUAAAUAAUGAAAAUAAUGAUAAA